rnacentral:rRNA from 1 species
CAGCAGCCGCGGGAAUACGAGGGGGGCUAGCGUUGUUCGGAAUUACUGGGCGUAAAGGGCGCGUAGGCGGCCAUUCAAGUUAGAUGUGAAAGCCCUGGGCUCAACCUAGGAAUUGCAUUUGAUACUGUUUGGCUUGAGUUCGGGAGAGGUGAGUGGAAUUCCCAGUGUAGAGGUGAAAUUCGUAGAUAUUGGGAAGAACACCAGUGGCGAAGGCGGCUCACUGGACCGACACUGACGCUGAGGCGCGAAAGCGUGGGGAGCAAACAGGAUUAGAUACCCCAGUAGUCCCUGUCUCUUAUAC